GCUAGCUACAGGCUUAACACAUGCAAGUCGAGGGGCAGCAUGGUCUUAGCUUGCUAAGGCCGAUGGCGACCGGCGCACGGGUGAGUAACGCGUAUCCAACCUGCCUUACACUCUUGGACAGCCUUCUGAAAGGGAGAUUAAUACAAGAUGUUAUCAUGAGUAAGCAUUUUCACAUGAUUAAAGGUUUACCGGUGUAAGAUGGGGAUGCGUUCCAUUAGAUAGUAGGCGGGGUAACGGCCCACCUAGUCUUCGAUGGAUAGGGGUUCUGAGAGGAAGGUCCCCCACAUUGGAACUGAGACACGGUCCAAACUCCUACGGGAGGCAGCAGUGAGGAAUAUUGGUCAAUGGACGAGAGUCUGAACCAGCCAAGUAGCGUGAAGGAUGAAGGUUCCAUGGAUUGUAAACUUCUUUUAUACGGGAAUAAACGAAUCCACGCGUGGAUUUUUGCAUGUACCGUAUGAAUAAGGAUCGGCUAACUCCGUGCCAGCAGCCGCGGUAAUACGGAGGAUCCGAGCGUUAUCCGGAUUUAUUGGGUUUAAAGGGAGCGUAGAUGGGUUGUUAAGUCAGUUGUGAAAGUUUGCGGCUCAACCGUAAAAUUGCAAUUGAUACUGGCAGUCUUGAGUACAGUUGAGGUAGGCGGAAAUUCGUGGUGUUAGCGGUGAAAUGCUUAGAUAUCACGAAUAACUCCGAUUGCGAAGGCAGCUUACUAACCUGUAACUGACAUUGAUGCUCGAAAGUGUGGGUAUCAAACAGGAUUAGAUACCCUGGUAGUCCACACGGUAAACGAUGAAUACUCGCUGUAGGCGAUAUACAGUCUGCGGCCAAGCGAAAGCAUUAAGUAUUCCACCUGGGGAGUACGCCGGCAACGGUGAAACUCAAAGGAAUUGACGGGGGCCCGCACAAGCGGAGGAACAUGUGGUUUAAUUCGAUGAUACGCGAGGAACCUUACCCGGGCUUAAAUUGCAACCGAAUAUGGCGGAAACGCUAUAGCUAGCAAUAGCGGUUGUGAAGGUGCUGCAUGGUUGUCGUCAGCUCGUGCCGUGAGGUGUCGGCUUAAGUGCCAUAACGAGCGCAACCCUUGCCGAUAGUUACUAACAGGUCAUGCUGAGGACUCUGUCGGGACUGCCAUCGUAAGAUGUGAGGAAGGUGGGGAUGACGUCAAAUCAGCACGGCCCUUACGUCCGGGGCUACACACGUGUUACAAUGGGGGGUACAGAGGGCUGCUACCACGCAAGUGGAUGCCAAUCCCAAAAACCUCUCUCAGUUCGGAUUGAAGUCUGCAACCCGACUUCAUGAAGCUGGAUUCGCUAGUAAUCGCGCAUCAGCCACGGCGCGGUGAAUACGUUCCCGGGCCUUGUACACACCGCCCGUCAAGCCAUGGGAGCCGGGGGUACCUGAAGUGCGUAACCGCAAGGAGCGCCCUAGGGUAAAACUGGUGACUGGGG
rnacentral:rRNA from 1 species